UACAGAGGUCUCAAGCGUUGUUUCGGAUUCAUUGGGCGUAAAGGGUGCGUAGGUGGCGCGGUAAGUCGGGUGUGAAAUCUCGGAGCUUAACUCCGAAAUUGCAUUCGAUACUGCCGUGCUCGAGGACUGGAGAGGAGACUGGAAUUCAUGGUGUAGCAGUGAAAUGCGUAGAGAUCAUGAGGAAGACCAGUGGCGAAGGCGGGUCUCUGGACAGUUCCUGACACUGAGGCACGAAGGCCAGGGGAGCAAACGGG
rnacentral:rRNA from 1 species